rnacentral:rRNA from 1 species
GCAUAUCAAUAAGCGGAGGAAAAGAAACUAACAAGGAUUCCCCUAGUAACUGCGAGUGAAGCGGGAAAAGCUCAAAUUUAAAAUCUGGUAGUCUUUUGGCUGCCUGAGUUGUAAUCUAGAGAAGUGUUAUCCGCGCUGGACCAUGUAUAAGUCUCCUGGAAUGGAGCGUCAUAGAGGGUGAGAAUCCCGUCUUGGACAUGGACUUACCAGGGCUUUGUGAUGCGCUCUCAAAGAGUCGAGUUGUUUGGGAAUGCAGCUCUAAAUGGGUGGUAAAUUCCAUCUAAAGCUAAAUAUUGGCGAGAGACCGAUAGCGAACAAGUACCGUGAGGGAAAGAUGAAAAGAACUUUGGAAAGAGAGUUAAACAGUACGUGAAAUUGUUGAAAGGGAAACGCUUGAAGUCAGUCACAUUGGCUAGGGAUCAGCUUUGCUUUUUUGCUUAGUGCACUUCCUGGUUCAAUGGGUCAACAUCAAUUUUGACCAGUGGAAAAAGAUUAAGGGAAUGUGGCAUCUUUAGAUGUGUUAUAGCCCUUGACCAUAUACAUUGGUUGGAAUUGAGGAACUCAGCAUGCCGCAAGGCCGGGUUUUUACCACGUUCAUGCUUAGGAUGUUGGCAUAAUGGCUUUAAUCGACCCGUCU